CUUUCCCGGCCAAGAAACCUCCCCCGCUGGGGAGCGCGGCCCGCCGCCCUCACCUGAGCCCCGGCCAGCUGAGCCCGCUACCCGCUCUCCCGCCGCGAUCCGGCCCAGCCGCCAGGUGAGCGCCGUCCCCUCCCACGCUCCCCGCCCCCUGCGGCGGCCGGGCCCUCCCGGCGGCAGAGGAGGGUCGUGGCCUUGGCACGUGCUGCCGCUUCCCCCCGGCGGAGUUCGGCCCCGCUCCGCCCGGCUUCCAGGUGGGUGCGGUGGAAGGAGGGUCCCUGCCCCUCCACCCCGGCUCGCGGCUGAGGGUUCGAGCAAGCUGGAGGGUUCCUUGCAUUCCCCACUUCCCGCCCGCUCAGCCCAGUUUAGGCCGUUUGAUGAUCGCCCUCGCGGUGAGCGUCAAAAUUCCCACCCUUCGUGGUUUGAGGACACUCAGGGGACAGCGAGGUGGCAGGUUAUGCGGUAUCCGCCGCGGCCCUGGGUAGGUGUGCAGGGCCGGGGGGUUGGGGGCGGGGCGGGAGGCACACGGGUCGGCUUGCGCGGGUCUUUUUCACACCAGUGCUCAAAUCAGGUCUCCACAAAGGAGCCUACUCAUCUGUCUGAGCUCCCUGGUCCCUCACUCCACGCUCCUGAGGCACUAUCCAGGCCACAGGUUGAUGGCUUCAUCUUUGGCGGAAGACAAAGACCGGUUCUUACUCUGCUGAAACGAAAGCAAACUCUUGUUCUUAUUUUUCUGGUUGUUUUUAUGAAGAAAAACGUCAGAUACAGAGCAGAGACUAGUAGAAUACUAUCUAAAACCUAGCGUCUGUAUUUAACAACUGUUUGCCUUUUGCCUUAUGUAUCACCUUUUCUGCUGGAGGGUUUUAUUUUUUAAUUUUUUAAAUUGUAUUUACUUUCUGUUUGUUUUUGUUUUGUUUUGUUUUGUUUUGUUUUGUUUUGUUUUGAGAUGGAGUCUCACUGUUGCCGAGGCUGGAGUGCAGUAGCACCGUGUCGGCUCACUGCAACCUCCGUCUCCUGGGUUCAAGCAAUUCUCUUGCCUUAGCCUCUCGAGCAGCUGGGAUUACAGGCGCCCACCACCAUGCCCAGCUAGUUUUUAUAUUUUUAGUAGAGACGGGGUUUCACCAUAUUGGCCAGGCUGGUCUCGAACUGACCUCAGGUGAUCCACCCACCUCGGCCUCCCAAAGUUCUUGUUUGUUUGUUUGUUUUUGAGGAGUCUCGCUCUGUCGCCCAGGCUGGAGUGCAGUGGUGCAAUCUCGGCUCACUGCAAGCUCCGCCUCCCGGGUCCACGCCAUUCUCCUGCCUCAGCCUCUCGAGUAGCUGGGACUACAGGCGCCCGUCACCACGCCUGGCUAAUUUUUUUGUAUUUUUUUAGUAGAGACGAGGUUUCACCGUGUUAGCCAGGAUGGUCUCGAUGUCCUGACCUCGUGAUCCGCCUGCCUCGUCCUCCCAAAGUGCUUUGAUUACAGGCGUGAGCCACCGCCCCCAGCCGUUCUUGUUUGUUUUUUAAGUUUUUUAAGAGACAGCUCUGUUGCCUAGGCUGGAGUGCAGUUGCGCCAUCAUAGCUCCCCGUGACCUUGAACUCCUGGGCUCAAGCGAUCCUCUUGCCUCAGACUCCCAAGUAGCUGCGACUACAGGCAAGUGACACCACACCCAGCUAAUUUCUGUAUUUUUUGUAGAGAGAGGGGUCUCACUAUGUUGUCCAGGAUGGUCUCAAACUCUGACCUCAAGCAGUCCUCCUGCCUUGGCCUCCCAAAGUGCUGAGCCUGGUGGAGAGUUUUAAAGAUAGGAGAUUUCACCCCUAAAUGGUACAAUAUACAUAUCAUUUUUAAAAGGACACUCUCCCACUUUGGGAGGCAGAGGCGGGUGGAUCACAAGGUCAGGAGUUUGAGAUCAUCCUGGACAACAUGGUGAAACCCUGUCUCUACUAAAAAUCCAAAAAAAAAAAAAAAUUAGCUGGACGUGGUGGCACUAUUUGGGAGCCUGAGGCAGGAGAAUCGCUUGAACCAGGGAGUCAGAGGGUGCAGUAAGCCAGGAUCACACCACUGCACUCCAGCCUGGGGACAGAGCGAGACUCCGUCUCAAAAAAAAAAAAAAAAAAAAAAAAAGGAAAAGACACGUUCCUACAUAAACAUAAAUAAACAUAAUGCUAUUUUCACACCUAACUAAAACUAACAAUAAUUAUCAACUCAUAUCAAAUUCUUCCAACUGACCCAAAAAUGUCUUUUACAGCUGACUUACUCAGACCAGGAUCCAAUCCAUGACCACCCAUUGCAUUUUAGCACAUCUUUUUUUAACCCAAAAGAGACUCCUCCUCCUCCACACUCCCCCUUUUUUUGGAAUGACAUUGCCUUAUUGAAAAAACCAGGCUGUCUUCUGGAUUUAUCUUAGGCUUCUUUGUGGUGUCUUCAACAUAUUUCUCUUCUUUCUGUACUUCCUGUGCUCUGGAAGUUAGCUCUAAAAGCUAGAUUGGAACCUAUCUCUUCUGAGUAAACAGUUCACCACCCACAUUCUUCCGUACUGGGGUGAUGGUUUUUGUUUGUUAGGCUCAUUUUUGUUCAACUACUUUUUAUUGGCACUAUCUCUAGUCUGUGGGUCCGUUUAGAAAAGCUGAUGAGCAAGCUUCAGGAAUACAACUGUUCCUGCUGAAAGGGAGGCCACUGACUGAACCAUCUCUUUGCCUCUUGGCUGCACUCUGAUCAGGCCAAACCCCAAAAGAAAAUGGAAUGAUGAAAGAAAAUGGAAAGAUAUUUCUCUCUUGUCGGCUAUUCAAAAACUUUUAAGUGCGGCGAGGCACAGUGGCUCACACCUGUAAUCCCAGCGCUUUGGGAGGCCGAGGCGGGC
rnacentral:lncRNA from 1 species